UGAUCAGGCAAUGUAGGCAAAGAUAUGAAACAUCAUCACCAGCCUCACACCGUCAAAAAUCAUAAUCAAAUUCUCUAAGUAAACAACACUAAAGGCCUCAGAAAACAUUUUGUACAAGUUAUAUCAUUGGUUUAUCAAA
rnacentral:sRNA from 1 species